rnacentral:rRNA from 1 species
CAAGUCGAGCGCUGAUUACGGGGUAGCAAUAUUCUGUGGUCGGAGCGGCGCAAGGGUGCGUAACACGUGGGUAAUCUGCCGUGAAAUUUGGGAUAACUUGCUGAAAGGCGAGCUAAUACCGGAUGUGAAAGUUGAAAGGCAUCUUUCGAUUUUCAAAGCUGGGGACCGUAAGGCCUGGCGCUUCAUGAUGAGCCCGCGGCCUAUCAGCUAGUUGGCAAGGUAACGGCUUACCAAGGCGAAGACGGGUAGCUGGUCUGAGAGGACGACCAGCCACACUGGAACUGAAACACGGUCCAGACACCUACGGGUGGCAGCAGUCGAGAAUUUUUCACAAUGGGCGCAAGCCUGAUGGAGCGACGCCGCGUGGGGGAUGAAUGGCUUCGGCCCGUAAACCCCUGUCAUUUGCAAUCAACCCUCGCUAUUUAAAAGAUGGCGAGCUGAUAGUAGCGAAAGAGGAACGGCCGGCUAAAUCUGUGCCAGCAGCCGCGGU